rnacentral:rRNA from 1 species
UACGGAGGGUGCAAGCGUUAUCCGGAUUUACUGGGCUUAAAGGGUGCGUAGGCGGGCCAUUAAGUCAGUGGUGAAAGCUCCGAGCUUAACUCGGAAACUGCCAUUGAUACUAUUGGUCUUGAAUUCGGUCGAGGUUGGCGGAAUGUGUCGUGUAGCGGUGAAAUGCUUAGAUAUGACACAGAACACCGAUUGCGAAGGCAGCUAGCUAGACCGACAUUGACGCUGAGGCACGAAAGCGUGGGGAUCAAACAGG